rnacentral:rRNA from 1 species
UACGAAGGGGGCUAGCGUUGCUCGGAAUCACUGGGCGUAAAGCGCACGUAGGCGGCUUCUUAAGUCAGGGGUGAAAUCCUGGAGCUCAACUCCAGAACUGCCUUUGAUACUGAGGAGCUUGAGUCCGGGAGAGGUGAGUGGAACUGCGAGUGUAGAGGUGAAAUUCGUAGAUAUUCGCAAGAACACCAGUGGCGAAGGCGGCUCACUGGCCCGGUACUGACGCUGAGGUGCGAAAGCGUAGGGAGCAAACAGG